rnacentral:rRNA from 1 species
UACGGGGGGGGCAAGCGUUGUUCGGAAUUACUGGGCGUAAAGGGCUCGUAGGUGGCCAACUAAGUCAGACGUGAAAUCCCUCGGCUUAACCGGGGAACUGCGUCUGAUACUGGAUGGCUUGAGGUUGGGAGAGGGAUGCGGAAUUCCAGGUGUAGCGGUGAAAUGCGUAGAUAUCUGGGGGAACACCGGUGGCGAAGGCGGCAUCCUGGACCAAUUCUGACGCUGAGGAGCGAAAGCCAGGGGAGCAAACGGG